rnacentral:rRNA from 1 species
AAACUAGGAUUAGAUACCCUAUUAUUAUGGCAUAGCGUCUAAGAGAUGUUAGUAUGUAAUAUUUGUGAAUCAAAAGAUUUUGGCGGUAUUCUAAGCUUUUUAGAGGAAUUUGCUCUGUAAUUGAUGAAACACCAAUAUCUUACUUAGUUUAGUGAGGGCAGUUUGUAUAUCGCUAUUUUAAAAAUUAUAUUGAAUGGUAAUGAUUGAAAUAAAUAUUUUUUUAAAAUGUUAGGUCAAGAUGCAGCUUAUAAUUAAGAUUGAAGUGAAUUACGGUUAUUUUUAUUGGGUAAAAUGAAAAAGUUUUUAGGAUUUAAAAGUAAAAUAGAAUUAUAAUGUUUAUUUGAAUAAAGCUCUAGAAUAUGUACACAUCGCCCGUCGCUCUCAUU